AGCUUGCUUCUAUGACGUUAGCGGCGGACGGGUGAGUAACACGUGGGCAACCUGCCUGUAAGACUGGGAUAACUUCGGGAAACCGAAGCUAAUACCGGAUAGGAUCUUCUCCUUCAUGGGAGAUGAUUGAAAGAUGGUUUCGGCUAUCACUUACAGAUGGGCCCGCGGUGCAUUAGCUAGUUGGUGAGGUAACGGCUCACCAAGGCAACGAUGCAUAGCCGACCUGAGAGGGUGAUCGGCCACACUGGGACUGAGACACGGCCCAGACUCCUACGGGAGGCAGCAGUAGGGAAUCUUCCGCAAUGGACGAAAGUCUGACGGAGCAACGCCGCGUGAGUGAUGAAGGCUUUCGGGUCGUAAAACUCUGUUGUUAGGGAAGAACAAGUACAAGAGUAACUGCUUGUACCUUGACGGUACCUAACCAGAAAGCCACGGCUAACUACGUGCCAGCAGCCGCGGUAAUACGUAGGUGGCAAGCGUUAUCCGGAAUUAUUGGGCGUAAAGCGCGCGCAGGCGGUUUCUUAAGUCUGAUGUGAAAGCCCACGGCUCAACCGUG
rnacentral:rRNA from 2 species